GUGUGUAUUGACAGGUGGUGGAACAAAUAUGAGUUUAUAAAUAUUAAUUAGACAAACUAAAACUCAUAUUUAGUUCUACCUCCUGUUGAAGCACACA
rnacentral:pre_miRNA from 1 species